GAUGAACGCUGGCGGCGUGCCUAAUACAUGCAAGUCGAGCGAACAGACGAGGAGCUUGCUCCUCUGACGUUUGCGGCGGAGGGGUGAGUAACACGUGUAUAACCUCCCUAUAAGACUGGUAUAACUUCGGGAAACCGGAGCUAAUACCGUAUAAUAUAUUGAACCGCGUGGUUCAUUAGUAAAAGACGGUUUUGCUGUCACUUAUCGAUGGAUCCCGGCCGCAUUAGCUAGUUGUUAAGUUAACGGCUUACCAAGGCAACCAUGCGUAGACGACCUGAGAGGGUGAUCGGCCACACUGGAACUGGGACACGGUCCAGACUCCUACGGGAGGCAGCAGUAGGGAAUCGUACGCAAUGGGCGAAAGCCUGACGGAACAACGCCGCGUGAGUGAUGAAGGUCUUCGGAUCGUAAAACUCUGUUAUUAGGGAAGAACAAAUGUGUAAGUAACUAUGCACGUAUUGACGGUACCUAAUCAGAAAGCCACGGCUAACUACGUG
rnacentral:rRNA from 1 species